GACGAACGCUGGCGGCGUGCUUAACACAUGCAAGUCGAACGGAAAGGCCCUGCUUUUGUGGGGUGCUCGAGUGGCGAACGGGUGAGUAACACGUGAGUAACCUGCCCUUGACUCUGGGAUAACUUCAGGAAACUGGGGCUAAUACCGGAUAGGAGCUCCUGCUGCAUGGUGGGGGUUGGAAAGUUUCGGCGGUUGGGGAUGGACUCGCGGCUUAUCAGCUUGUUGGUGGGGUAGUGGCUUACCAAGGCUUUGACGGGUAGCCGGCCUGAGAGGGUGACCGGCCACAUUGGGACUGAGAUACGGCCCAGACUCCUACGGGAGGCAGCAGUGGGGAAUAUUGCACAAUGGGCGGAAGCCUGAUGCAGCAACGCCGCGUGCGGGAUGACGGCCUUCGGGUUGUAAACCGCUUUCGCCUGUGACGAAGCGUGAGUGACGGGAAUGGGUAAAGAAGCACCGGCGAACUACGU
rnacentral:rRNA from 1 species